rnacentral:rRNA from 1 species
GACGAACGCUGGCGGCGUGCUUAACACAUGCAAGUCGAACGGAAAGGCCCUGCUUUUGUGGGGUGCUCGAGUGGCGAACGGGUGAGUAACACGGGAGUAACCUGCCCUUGACUUUGGGAUAACUUUAGGAAACUGGGGCUAAUACCGGAUAGGAGCUCCUGCUGCAUGGUGGGGGUUGGAAAGGUUCGGCGGUUGGGGAUGGACUCGCGGCUUAUCAGCUUGUUGGUGGGGUAGUGGCUUACCAAGGCUUUGACGGGUAGCCGGCCUGAGAGGGUGACCGGCCACAUUGGGACUGAGAUACGGCCCAGACUCCUACGGGAGGCAGCAGUGGGGAAUAUUGCACAAUGGGCGGAAGCCUGAUGCAGCAACGCCGCGUGCGGGAUGACGGCCUUCGGGUUGUAAACCGCUUUCGCCUGUGACGAAGCGUGAGUGACGGUAAUGGGUAAAGAAGCACCGGCUAACUACGUG